rnacentral:rRNA from 1 species
AUGUUUUCGUCACAGUCACUCAGCCGCGUCAACAACAUCCGGACAACGCUGAUCAAUGCGCAGAAGGGCAAUCAAUCGGUGGCCACCUUCUUCGCCGCCAUGAUGGGUCUCGCCGAUGAACUCGCCGCGGCGGGAAAACCCAUCCAGGACGACGAGUUAAUCUCCUACAUCAUCCAUGGGCCGGACCAAGACUAUCAGCCCCUCGUCUCCGCACUAGAUGCCCGUGUCACUCCGGUAACUCUCGAUGAACUUUUUUGCCAUGCUCAGUAA